GAAUUGUUUUUGUUGCGAGCGGUUGAAACGACGGGCGCUGCGCUUCGUAAAUUUUGUGUACGUUAAUUUCUGUAAACGCCGUUCGUUGUGUAUGUGUGUGUAGUAGUUACUUGUAUGCUGGCGAGUUGUGUUUUUUUGCGCUUACGUACAGUUAAUAUUCAUAUUUGUUGUAAGCGCACACACAGCACUGCAAGGCACAAUUUAAAUUUGUGCUGCAAAAUGUGCGCAAAACGUGUGCGAUAAAAGUGUGCGAUUAAAAAAAGAAACAACAACAAAACGCAAAAAUAAAAGUAAAGCAACACAUAAAAAAUAAAAGCAAAAAAAGUGCAGGGCCAGCGCCAGCAACAAAAAAACUGCGCGUGCCUGUCUCUGGCUCUGUAUUAGUGUAUUUGUCACUGUGUGAGUGAGUGAACGUGUACGUGUAAGUGUGCGUGUGCGUGUGC